GCCCGGUUAGCUCAGUCGGUAGAGCAUUCGACUUUUACCAAGUUUCAUCUCCUGUGGAUGCCAUCGAAUUGUCGGGGGUUCGAGCCCCCCAUUGGGCG